rnacentral:rRNA from 1 species
GCCUACGGGAGGCAGCAGUGGGGGAUAUUGGACAAUGGGGGGAACCCUGAUCCAGCGACGCCGCGUGAGUGAAGAAGUAUUGCGGUAUGUAAAGCUCUGUCAGCAGGGAAGAAAGAAAUGACGGUACCUGACCAAGAAGCCCCGGCUAACUACGUGCCAGCAGCCGCGGUAAUACGUAGGGGGCAAGCGUUAUCCGGAAUUACUGGGUGUAAAGGGAGCGUAGACGGUUAAGUAAGUCUGGAGUGAAAGGCCGGGGCCCAACGCCGGGACUGCUAUGGAAACUAUUCAACUU